CACCUAUUGGUUGUGAAAAACUACAACCUAAACUUUGGAACAAAAAAAAACCAAUCCAUGAUCAGAUUUUUCUCCAGAAUUAUGAGUGUCUACAUUUCUAUCAGUCUACUAGACCUGAAUAAAAGCAUAAAAAAUGUUGAGUCAAAUCCACAACCAGACUUGCUUAAAGAUAAAUAACGGGGAAUUGUUUUAACAAUUAGGAAAUGGGAGUACUUCUUGCUCAUGUAAAAAUUUGUAUGUACUAGGUGAUCUAGAAAACAUAUGAUAAUUUUGUAUUUA